rnacentral:rRNA from 1 species
AGAGUUUGAUCAUGGCUCAGAUUGAACGCUGGCGGCAGGCCUAACACAUGCAAGUCGAACGGUAACAGAAAGCAGCUUGCUGCUUUGCUGACGAGUGGCGGACGGGGGAGUAAUGUCUGGGAAACUGCCCGAUGGAGGGGGAUAACUACUGGAAACGGUAGCUAAUACCGCAUAACGUCGCAAGACCAAAGAGGGGGACCUUAGGGCCUCUUGCCAUCGGAUGUGCCCAGAUGGGAUUAGCUAGUAGGUGGGGUAAAGGCUCACCUAGGCGACGAUCCCUAGCUGGUCUGAGAGGAUGACCAGCCACACUGGAACUGAGACACGGUCCAGACUCCUACGGGAGGCAGCAGUGGGGAAUAUUGCACAAUGGGCGCAAGCCUGAUGCAGCCAUGCCGCGUGUAUGAAGAAGGCCUUCGGGUUGUAAAGUACUUUCAGCGGGGAGGAAGGGAGUAAAGUUAAUACCUUUGCUCAUUGACGUUACCCGCAGAAGAAGCACCGGCUAACUCCGUGCCAGCAGCCGCGGUAAUACGGAGGGUGCAAGCGUUAAUCGGAAUUACUGGGCGUAAAGCGCACGCAGGCGGUUUGUUAAGUCAGAUGUGAAAUCCCCGGGCUCAACCUGGGAACUGCAUCUGAUACUGGCAAGCUUGAGUCUCGUAGAGGGGGGUAGAAUUCCAGGUGUAGCGGUGAAAUGCGUAGAGAUCUGGAGGAAUACCGGUGGCGAAGGCGGCCCCCUGGACGAAGACUGACGCUCAGGUGCGAAAGCGUGGGGAGCAAACAGGAUUAGAUACCCUGGUAGUCCACGCCGUAAACGAUGUCGACUUGGAGGUUGUGCCCUUGAGGCGUGGCUUCCGGAGCUAACGCGUUAAGUCGACCGCCUGGGGAGUACGGCCGCAAGGUUAAAACUCAAAUGAAUUGACGGGGGCCCGCACAAGCGGUGGAGCAUGUGGUUUAAUUCGAUGCAACGCGAAGAACCUUACCUGGUCUUGACAUCCACGGAAGUUUUCAGAGAUGAGAAUGUGCCUUCGGGAACCGUGAGACAGGUGCUGCAUGGCUGUCGUCAGCUCGUGUUGUGAAAUGUUGGGUUAAGUCCCGCAACGAGCGCAACCCUUAUCCUUUGUUGCCAGCGGUCCGGCCGGGAACUCAAAGGAGACUGCCAGUGAUAAACUGGAGGAAGGUGGGGAUGACGUCAAGUCAUCAUGGCCCUUACGACCAGGGCUACACACGUGCUACAAUGGCGCAUACAAAGAGAAGCGACCUCGCGAGAGCAAGCGGACCUCAUAAAGUGCGUCGUAGUCCGGAUUGGAGUCUGCAACUCGACUCCAUGAAGUCGGAAUCGCUAGUAAUCGUGGAUCAGAAUGCCACGGUGAAUACGUUCCCGGGCCUUGUACACACCGCCCGUCACACCAUGGGAGUGGGUUGCAAAAGAAGUAGGUAGCUUAACCUUCGGGAGGGCGCUUACCACUUUGUGAUUCAUGACUGGGGUGAAGUCGUAACAAGGUAACCGUAGGGGAACCUGCGGUUGGAUCACCU